UUUCACUGGGUGCAUCUGGCUCAAGGGCUCUCAAGAGGUUGCCAUCAGGCUACUUGCUUGGGUUGUGGUCUAAUCUGUCGAGACUCACAUAGUGGGAGGACCUGCCUCUGAGUUUGCUCACAUGGUUGUUGUCAGCAUUCAAUGCCUCACAGACUGUUGGGUAGUUCCUUGCUGGCUGUCAGCCAGAUGCCCCCCGUGGCACACGAAACUCUCUAUAGGACAACUCACAAUAGAGCUAGCUUCUUCCAGGGUGCAUGAGAGAGUGAGAGAGACCUAGAGGAUGCCCAAGACAGGAGUCACAAUCUUUUGGUAACCUAACUUUGGAAGUGACAUUCUAUCACUUUUCUGUAUUCUAUUUAUUAAGAGCAAGUCACCAUGUCCAACCUUCUUCAAGAGGAGGGGAUUACACAAGGGCAUGAAGAACUAAGAAGUGGGGAACGCUGGGAACCAUCAUCUUCCAGGUGUCUACCACAGAGAGGAGGACAUUUGGACACAGACAGGCACAGAGGGGAGACCAGGUGAAGACACAGGGAGAAGAUGGCCAUCUACGAGCCAAGAAGAGAGGCUUCACAAGAAACCAAACCUGAUCACACCUUGUUUUCAGGCUUUCAGCCUCCAGAAUUGUGAGAAAAUAAAUUUCUGUGUUUUAAAUCACUACA